rnacentral:sRNA from 1 species
CCCUAGCCCUGAUGGGAGCGGCAUCCUUUUGUGCCGGGGUUCGGCACAAAAGAUACAGCGGACAGCAGGAAUAUGC